UUUUUUGGAGACAGGAUUUCUCUGUCUAUCUCUGGCUGUCCUGGAACUCACUCUGUAGACCAGGCUGGCCUUCGACUCACCUGCCCCCCACUCCCCCCAGUCCUGGGAUCAAAGGUGUGUGCCGCCAUCACUCGGCUGGUGAUGAGUCAACUUCAGUCUUUCCGCCAGCACUCCCAACAUCCUCUCCACAGAACCAAGCACUGCUCGGUGGAUAAGGACCGGAUGCUCCAGGGCCCCCAUCUGCCUUGGAAGGAAAAGGGGAAGGAAUGGAAUGCUGGAGUGCCACAAACUGAGCAUCCUGAAUCAUCUUUCAGUUAUCAGGAAACAUCUCUGAUGCGGUUAAAUCUCAGCGGCAGUUGGAAGUCAAGCUGGAUUGUUCCACAUUGAUGGGGCCGACCCAGGGCAUCAUGGAGCCUUACAGAAGAACUGCUCAGUGCCACCCAACAUGUCACAGGCCAAAGCAGAGACUGAUGCCACUACGGAAAUCGGUUUCAAGAUUCAGCUGGUCUUCUACAAUCCCUUGGCUGCCCUCAUCAGCAUUUUGCCUAUUCUCCUUAGGGAUUUUCACAUUCUUUCCUCUCUUGGCCAUAGUUUUUCCUUUUUCUUUUUUUUUUUUUUGAGACAGGGUUUUUCUGUGUAGCUUUGGAGGUUGUCCUGGAACUCACUUUGCAGACCAGGCUGGCCUCAAAUUCACAGAGCUCCAUCUGCCUCUCCCUCCCAGCUGCUGAGAUUAAAGGCGUGCACCACCACUAUCAGGUUUCUUUUAUCUGUGUAUGCCUGUGUACACACGUGUGUGCACGGGGCUAUAGAAGCUUACCCUGGGUCUUCUAUUGUUCUCAGUCCUUAUUCCUUUGAGGCAGUGUAAUGGUCACUGUCAACUUGACCGGCCUAGACUCACCUAGGAGAUGGGCCUCUGAGCAUGCUUGUGGGGGACUAUGUUGCUUAGGUUAACUGUGUGUGGGACCAUUCCCUGUGAGGGGGUCCUGGAUUGUAUAAAAUGGAGAACCUGAGUUCAGCACUGGGUCCAUCCAUUGCUCUCUGUUCUUGAUUGUGGUGCAGUGAGAUCAGCUUCAUCAGGACUAUACCCCUGAACUGUGAGCCAGGAUUCACCCUUCCUCCCUUAAGUAGUUUUUGUCAAGAGUACCUGAUCACAGACAGCACAGGAUAAGAACCUAAGACAGGGAGGAUCUCUUCCUGAACCUGGAGCUCCUCCGCCCCCCCAGUGAUCUUCCUAUCUCCACGCCCCACAACACUAGGGUGAGAUCACAGGCAUCUUAAGUGUGUGCUGGGUUCCAAGCUCAGGUCCUCAUGGCUGUAUAGCAAGCCCUCUAACUCAGAACCAUCUUUCCAGCCCCAUUUUAAUAAAACACUAUCUUAGAUUUAACAAAAUUCAAAGUUUAUCACUGACUGCUAACUUUAUAGCCUGGGUGCAUUGUUGAACUUUUUAAAUUUCUUAACAAAAAGAAGUGUCAAGCCCUCACUUAAAUGCCUCUGACUUAAAAUUGAAAAUAAGUUUUUUUCUUGGGGUGGGAGGGAGAACUGUGGUUGGAAUGUAAAAUGAAAUUAAAAAAUUUGUUUUAAAAAAGUUA